UACGGGGGAUGCAAGCGUUAUCCGGAAUCAUUGGGCGUAAAGCGCCUGUAGGUGGUUUAGUAAGUCUGUUGUUACAGACUAGGGCUUAACCCUAGAAAAGCGAUGGAAACUACUAGACUAGAGUAUGGCAAGGGUAGAGGGAAUUUCUAGUGUAGCGGUGAAAUGCGUAGAUAUUAGAAAGAACACCGGUGGCGAAAGCGCUCUACUGGACCAUUACUGACACUCAGAGGCGAAAGCUAGGGUAGCAAAAGGGAUUAGAUACCCCUGUAGUCUUAGCCGUAAACGAUGGAUACUAGAUGUUGUGUAUUAUAUACAGUAUCGUAGCUAACGCGUUAAGUAUCCCGCCUGGGGAGUACGCUCGCAAGGGUG
rnacentral:rRNA from 1 species